AAGUCGUAACAAGGUUUCCGUAGGUGAACCUGCGGAAGGAUCAUUACCAAAUAUAUCAAUUUACUCAACCCAAUGUGCACGAUGAAUGAACUGUCUUGGUUUUUGGGGUGGGCAUUAUAACUGUUCACCCCAACCAUUUUGUUAAACAACUUUAUCACAUUUUCAUGGCAUUUGUACAUUUUGUCUAAUUAACGACAACUUUUAACGGUGGAUCUCUUGGCUCGUGGAU
rnacentral:misc_RNA from 1 species